rnacentral:lncRNA from 1 species
AUGACUGAAGAGCGAAAACAGUUCUAUAUGAUGGCUCAAUCAAACGUGGAAAUGGACGACAAAAGUAGAGUUUCAACAUUCCAGCAUGUGAGAAUAACUUCAGAACUUCAUAGUUCUUGUAGUACUGCAUUUCUCUCUUGUACAGUUCUAGGUUUUGUUAGGGUAUUUCAGUUGGGCAAACUACGGGGAGGUAAUCACGAACUUGAUUAAUCAAGUUCAUGAUUAUGACGUCAUGAAAAUGGGGCGUGGCAUGACCAUAUAAGGAGUUGUAAUCAAGAUUUUGAUUACUUUUCGUGCACCGAACUAUUCAAGUGUUUCGUUUCGAUUGUUAUAAUGUCCAUAUCGACACGAUUUUUUACCAGGUGAAACGCAAUAUUCUAUUCUCCCGAAAUGAUAUGGACCGGUAGCAGUGGGAUAUGUACUUUAGCUCAUAUGGCGAAAGAUAAACUGCUAGCCUAACUUUUUCAGAAAAGUGAUAUUUCUUAAAGCCCUUUUUAGGCGGAUAUUAUUCUUUUAUCCACAUUUUUACGUUUCUAAUUUAAAAAUAAAUAAUUGAACAUUCAUUUUACACACGUCUUAAAUUGGUCGUAAUAAACAUUUCUUCCAAAAGGCACCGUCGCCUGUUAGCACGCCGCCAUUUGUGUGUUGUCGGUGUGUUGGUGAGGCCGGAAAUUAACGCCGAAUUAUUGGUAAUUUGGUUCUUAUAGCUCAUCAAAGUACCACCUCCUCGCUGUAGCAGUGGGCAUCACCGUCACCUCAGUAUUGCUCAGGAAGCUCGUGAUAAUGGUACCUAUGGUCCUACGUUGAGGAACGCUCAAUCAAAAAAUGAUAUGAUGAACUUCUUUGGAAUUAAGCGGACUAAGUACAGCUACAUUUGUAUUAUGUGCAUCGCUCAUGCAAGACAGCAGGCCAGGAUGCUGCUGAAUUCAUACAGCUGCAGGGGAUGAGCUGGAGAACCUGCAGCGCAUUCUCCAAGAGACGACGGAAGCCAACGGAGGCCCGCAAAACUUUCCAUCCCAUAAUCGUGAAUGGAGAGCUGGGCGGGGAAGACGCGGUAUUCGUCGAGGCCCAGGAGGUGGUAUCGGCGCCACCAGACCAAGCAUUCCUGCUGUGGCAGGCCGCAUUUUGGAUUUUUAACAUCAAAACUCCUAAAAAUAUGGUCAAUCUGAAUUGGUUUCUGAGAACCAAAGUGUUUGGUGGGGUGAAGGCCGAUGUGCCGCCAUCAGCGGCGGCCAUUGCGACCGUGAAGCAAGUAGAGUGAGAUCCCCGUAGAGCAUGCCGCUGCGGGGUGUCGGAAGCGUUUGCCAAUUCUAUGAGCCUUCCACCGGCAGGACUAUAAAUACACAUUUCUUGAAA